rnacentral:rRNA from 1 species
GACGGGGGGGGCAAGUGUUCUUCGGAAUGACUGGGCGUAAAGGGCACGUAGGCGGUGAAUCGGGUUGAAAGUGAAAGUCGCCAAAAAGUGGCGGAAUGCUCUCGAAACCAAUUCACUUGAGUGAGACAGAGGAGAGUGGAAUUUCGUGUGUAGGGGUGAAAUCCGUAAAUAUACGAAGGAACGCCAAAAGCGAAGGCAGCUCUCUGGGUCCCUACCGACGCUGGGGUGCGAAAGCAUUGGGAGCGAACAGG